UACGGAGGGAGCUAGCGUUGUUCGGAAUUACUGGGCGUAAAGCGCGCGUAGGCGGCUUUGUAAGUUAGAGGUGAAAGCCCGGGGCUCAACCCCGGAACUGCCUUUAAGACUGCAUCGCUUGAAUCCGGGAGAGGUGAGUGGAAUUCCGAGUGUAGAGGUGAAAUUCGUAGAUAUUCGGAAGAACACCAGUGGCGAAGGCAGCUCGCUGGGACGUUACUGACGCUGAGACGCGAAAGCGUGGGGAGCAAACAGG
rnacentral:rRNA from 1 species